rnacentral:rRNA from 1 species
UACGAAGGGGGGCUAGCGUUGCUCGGAAUGACUGGGCGUAAAGGGCGCGUAGGCGGUUUUGUACAGUCAGGUGUGAAAAUUCCCGGGCUCAACCUGGGGGGCUGCACUUGAUACGUAUGGACUGGAGUGGGGAAGAGGGGUCGUGGAAUUCCCAGUGUAGAGGUGAAAAUUCGUAGAUAUUGGGGAAAGAACACCGGUGGCGAAGGCGGGCGACCUGGUCCUUGACUGACGCUGAGGCGCGAAAGCGUGGGGGAGCAAAACAGG